rnacentral:rRNA from 1 species
AGUGGACGCUGGCGGUAGGCCUAACACAUGCCAGUCGAACGGCAGCACAGUAAGAGCUUGCUCUUACGGGUGGCGAGUGGCGGACGGGUGAGGAAUACAUCGGAAUCUACUUUUUCGUGGGGGAUAACGUAGGGAAACUUACGCUAAUACCGCAUACGACCUACGGGUGAAAGAAGGGGAUCUUCGGACCUUGCGCGAUUGAAUGAGCCGAUGUCGGAUUAGCUAGUUGGCGGGGUAAAGGCCCACCAAGGCGACGAUCCGUAGCUGGUCUGAGAGGAUGAUCAGCCACACUGGAACUGAGACACGGUCCAGACUCCUACGGGAGGCAGCAGUGGGGAAUAUUGGACAAUGGGCGCAAGCCUGAUCCAGCCAUACCGCGUGGGUGAAGAAGGCCUUCGGGUUGUAAAGCCCUUUUGUUGGGAAAGAAAAGCAGCAGGUUAAUACCCCGCUGUUCUGACGGUACCCAAAGAAUAAGCACCGGCUAACUUCGUG